AGAGUUUGAUCCUGGCUCAGGACGAACGCUGGCGGCGUGCUUAACACAUGCAAGUCGAGCGGUAAGGCCUUUCGGGGUACACGAGCGGCGAACGGGUGAGUAACACGUGGGUGAUCUGCCCUGCACUUCGGGAUAAGCCUGGGAAACUGGGUCUAAUACCGGAUAUGACUCCUCAUCGCAUGGUGGGGGGUGGAAAGCUUUAUUGUGGUUUUGGAUGGACUCGCGGCCUAUCAGCUUGUUGGUGAGGUAAUGGCUUACCAAGGCGACGACGGGUAGCCGGCCUGAGAGGGUGACCGGCCACACUGGGACUGAGACACGGCCCAGACUCCUACGGGAGGCAGCAGUGGGGAAUAUUGCACAAUGGGCGCAAGCCUGAUGCAGCGACGCCGCGUGAGGGAUGACGGCCUUCGGGUUGUAAACCUCUUUCAGUAGGGAAGAAGCGAAAGUGACGGUACCUGCAGAAGAAGCGCCGGCUAACUACGUGCCAGCAGCCGCGGUAAUACGUAGGGCGCAAGCGUUAUCCGGAAUUAUUGGGCGUAAAGAGCUCGUAGGCGGUUUGUCGCGUCUGCCGUGAAAGUCCGGGGCUCAACUCCGGAUCUGCGGUGGGUACGGGCAGACUAGAGUGAUGUAGGGGAGACUGGAAUUCCUGGUGUAGCGGUGAAAUGCGCAGAUAUCAGGAGGAACACCGAUGGCGAAGGCAGGUCUCUGGGCAUUAACUGACGCUGAGGAGCGAAAGCAUGGGGAGCGAACAGGAUUAGAUACCCUGGUAGUCC
rnacentral:rRNA from 1 species